rnacentral:rRNA from 1 species
GUGAGGAAUAUUGCGCAAUGGAGGCAACUCUGACGCAGCCAUGCCGCGUGCAGGAAGAAGGCGCUACGCGUUGUAAACUGCUUUUAACCGGGAAGAAACCCCAGGACGUGUCCUGGGUUGACGGUACCGGAGGAAUAAGCACCGGCUAACUUCGUGCCAGCAGCCGCGGGAAUACGAAGGGUGCAAGCGUUAUCCGGAUUCAUUGGGUUUAAAGGGUGCGUAGGCGGAGCGUUAAGUCAGUGGUGAAAUCCUGCAGCUUAACUGUAGACUUGCCAUUGAUACUGGCGCUCUUGAGUGCGCUUGAAGUGGGCGGAAUGUGCCGUGUAGCGGUGAAAUGCUUAGAGAUGGCACAGAACACCAAUUGCGAAGGCAGCUCACUAAGGCGAUACUGACGCUGAGGCACGAAAGCGUGGGGAUCGAACAGGAUUAGAUACCCCGGUAGUCC